rnacentral:rRNA from 1 species
AGGACGAACGCUGGCGGCGUGCUUAACACAUGCAAGUCGGGCGGAAAGGCCCUUCGGGGUACUCGAGCGGCGAACGGGUGAGUAACACGUGAGUAAUCUGCCCCUAGCUCUGGGAUAGCUCCGGGAAACCGGGAUUAAAUACCAGAUACGACCACUUUAGACAUCUGCUGUGGUGGAAAGAAUUUCGGCUAGGGAUGAGCUCGCGGCCUAUCAGCUUGUGGUGAGGUAACGGCUCACCAAGGCGACGACGGGUA